rnacentral:rRNA from 1 species
UUCCGGUUGAUCCCGCCGGAGGCCACUGCUAUCGGGGUCCGACUAAGCCAUGCGAGUCAAGGGGGUGUCCCUCUGGGACACCACCGGCGGACGGCUCAGUAACACGUCGGUAACCUACCCUCGGGAGGGGGAUAACCCCGGGAAACUGGGGCUAAUCCCCCAUAGGCCUGAGGUACUGGAAGGUCCUCAGGCCGAAAGGGGCUUUUGCCCGCCCGAGGAUGGGCCGGCGGCCGAUUAGGUAGUUGGUGGGGUAACGGCCCACCAAGCCGAAGAUCGGUACGGGCUGUGAGAGCAGGAGCCCGGAGAUGGACACUGAGACACGGGUCCAGGCCCUACGGGGCGCAGCAGGCGCGAAACCUCCGCAAUGCGGGAAACCGCGACGGGGGGACCCCGAGUGCCGUGGCACCGCCACGGCUUUUCCGGAGUGUAAAAAGCUCCGGGAAUAAGGGCUGGGCAAGGCCGGUGGCAGCCGCCGCGGUAAUACCGGCGGCCCGAGUGGUGGCCGCUAUUAUUGGGCCUAAAGCGUCCGUAGCCGGGCCCGUAAGUCCCUGGCGAAAUCCCACGGCUCAACCGUGGGGCUUGCUGGGGAUACUGCGGGCCUUGGGACCGGGAGAGGCGGGGGGUACCCCUGGGGUAAGGGUGAAAUCCUAUAAUCCCAGGGGGACCGCCAGCGGCGAAAGCGCCCCGCUUGAAUGCGUCCCACGGUAAUGUACAACGCCAUUGUACCAACCCUAUCAAACCCCCGUUAUACCUCUGUAAAGGAUCGCUAGGUCGUGAGCUUCGACCCGGGCGGAACCGUAACCCCGCCGGGGAGACGGCGCAAGCUGAAACUUAAAGGAAUUGGGGGGAGCACACAAGGGUGGAGCGUGCGUUUAAUGGAUUCAACCCGGAACCUCACGGGGGCGACGCAGGAUGAAGGCCAGGCUGAAGGUCUGCCAGAACACGCCGAGAGGAGGUGCAUGCCGCCAUCAGCUCGUACCGUGAGGCGUCCACUUAAGUGUGGUAACGAGCGAGACCCGCGUCCCCAGUUGCCAGCCCUUCCCGUUGGGAAGGGGGCACUCUGGGGGGACUGCCGGCGAUAAGCCGGAGGAAGGAGCGGGCGACGGUAGGUCAGUAUGCCCCGAAACCCCCGGGCUACACGCGCGCUACAAUGGGCGGGACAAUGGGAUCCGACCCCGAAAGGGGAAGGGAAUCCCCUAAACCCGCCCCCAGUUCGGAUCGCGGGCUGCAACUCGCCCGCGUGAAGCUGGAAUCCCUAGUACCCGCGUGUCAUCAUCGCGCGGCGAAUACGUCCCUGCUCCUUGCACACACCGCCCGUCACUCCACCCGAGCGGGGUCUGGAUGAGGCUCCGUCCUCUGGGCGGGGUCGAGUCCAGGCUCCGUGAGGGGGGAGAAGUCGUAACAAGGUAACCGU